rnacentral:rRNA from 1 species
GACGAACGCUGGCGGCGUGCCUAAUACAUGCAAGUCGAGCGAAGCGGCGGAUGGGUGAGUAACGCGUGGGUAACCUGCCCUUAAGCUUGGGAUACCAGUUGGAAACAGAUGCUGAUACCGGAUACUUAAGGAUGGACUGGCGUGGCAUUAGCUAGUUGGUAAGGUAACGGCUUACCAAGGCGAUGAUGCAUAGCUGGUUUGAGAGAAUGAUCGGCCACAUUGGGACUGAGACACGGCCCAGACUCCUACGGGAGGCAGCAGUAGGGAAUAUUCCACAAUGGGCGAAAGCCUGAUGGAGCAACGCCGCGUGAGUGAAGAAGGUUUUCGGGUCGUAAAGCACUGUUAUUGGGGAAGCGGUAAUCAAAGAAGAAGUCACGGCUAACUCCGUGCCAGCAGCCGCGGUAAUUC